AAAAAAUCGAUGAAAAGAAAAGUAGAUAUUUAAGAGUAUCUUCAGCGAGUGAAGGAUGGUGGAAGCUUCAUGAGAAAUUGAUAUCGAAAGACAUCUUGGAGAUGCUUACUUGAAAUUGAGUAGGGUAAGACGUGUUCUAGCGUUAAUAGAUUGAGAUAACUUUUUAAUUAUUUAAUUAAGUUAAAUUAGGAUGGUACCGUGAACAUAGCCUUCGCUCCUAUA
rnacentral:ncRNA from 1 species